rnacentral:misc_RNA from 1 species
GGUUAAUCUCGUUUCUUUCUGGCAGGGGUUGGUAAGAAAAUCUCUAUAUGUAAAAGAGAAAUUUUUCUAUAAAAAUUGUUUUACUGUGUUGAAAAUGACUAAUUUGAGCAGAACGCCAUAACGCGCCAAUAGAAAAAUAUACUGUACUAGUAAAAAAUUUGUAGUCAUCACUGAAACAGACGAUAAAAAGGGAAGUAUGACAUAUCUAGUUUCUGCCCAUUGUCCUGUGUCCUCCAUUGUUUGUUAACAAUUUCGUCCAUGUUGUUCUGUUCGCUUGAUUUUAAUUCAAGGUCAGUUAACCAUGAACUUGUUUUGCCUGAAAUUCCAGGCAAGAUAACACAAUUAACUUCAACCUCUCCAGUCGCGGAGCAUGUGUAAGAGAAAUAAACAUCAUACAGGCAGGUCAAUGGUGGUCACAGACUUUCAGCACAGAAAGAUGGAAACUUUUAUUUUCUUUUAGAGGGGAAAUCCUAGAGCAUUUAUUUAUCUUGCCAGACUAGAAGGUUUAAAAAGUCACAAUUUCGAUUCACCUCAUCCAUCAUUGCAAUUCAAUCCAACUUUCCAUAGCAUUCUUCCUAUCUUCACCGCGCCCAGUAAGGCUUAAAAGGUUCACAGUUUCUCACCCACAACCCAGAAGUUGGUAACAUCGUAUUUGUCACCAGCGCCCAGAAGUUCAGAAAAGUUAUGCUAAUGAGAUGAAUUAGGCAGACAUGAACAGGGAAAUAAUUGAACCGGCCAGAUUAGAAGAAAAAAAAACCAUCAUUCUUUGGUAGUGUUCUUGCUAUUUACCAAUGAAAAGAAACAUCUAAUUAUUAGUAUUCCACUGCUACGUGGAAUGAAAAGUCUAUGCAGGAUUUGUUAGAGUGUAUAUCAUUCCUCAUUUACCAAAAAAUAAAAAAGGCCACCAAGAAAAUCCCCCAAGCCCCAAAACUGCGACUCCUGUCCUAGAUCUGACAGUUAAAUAAGAGCACCUUCACAUUCUUCUUUCAAAAUUCCACUUCUGCCAAUGCUUUCACAGUCUGUUGCUGCAACUUGAGAGCCUCCAUUUUUGUUUUGAUAAGGUGACAACACAUCCACUUCCUUCCUCUUCUUCUCCUUCUUUUCCAAUAAUUUUUUAGCAAAUGCGUCUGCAAUCUGUUGCUGCGACUCAAGAAUCAUCUGGUUAUGCUUCAACAACAUAUCCAUCCUCAUUUUCUCAAUUUCCAUUGCCAUUUCCAUUUUCAUCUUCUCCACCUUCACAAAACUUUUUGUAGACAUCUUAAUUGCUGACACAACCUCUGCAAUUGGAUCCAUCACUUUCUUGCCACCACUUUGAACGUCACCCUUCUUGACAUUACCAAACCCAUUCAAAACCUUAGAAUCAACAUCAAGCUUCAAGCUCCCAUCAAUCUUACCAUUAUUCUUAGGUCUAAACCCUGGGAGAGGAGAUACCAGGCCAUCAAUAAUGUUCUCCGCAAACCUAUUAUCAUUACCAAGAUUAGGGAAAGAUUUCUCAUCAACCUUCCUAGAGUUUUUUGGCUUAAACCCUGGAGGCACAUCACCUAGCGUUUUCACAGGAAACCCAACGUAGGUAUCAGCACCUUCACCAAUACUUCUAUUGAUAGGGCUAGAAUCACCACCAAUCUUGCCAUAACCUUUCAAUCUAGGUCCCUGAGGCAGAAAGCUCCUACAUUGUGUUUUUUCCAUUUUCAUACAGACCCCGCCUUCAUAAUCACAAUGGAAGUCAAUAUCGGCCUUCAGUUUCCCAUCAACUCUUUCAUGAUCCUUUGGCCUAAACGCCACAGACACCGAAUUCACAUCACCAACAGGUUUCAGACAGAACCCAUUUCCCAAAGCACGAGAAACAUUAGAGUCAGAAUCCUCUUCAAUCCUGCUAUAUUUCGUAGCUCUAAAUGCCAAAUCCGAAUCCAAUCCCGAAUCAAAAUCUGCGUCGAAAUCCUGAUCAAUAUUGCUACGCCUGUUUGGUGUUAUCAAAUACCUAUCCCCCAGUGUUUUCACUCGAAACCCAUCUCCAAUGUCAUUCUCUUCAUCGAUAUCUUGACAUUGCUUGGGUCCAGCAGACCCAAUUGCCAUGGAAUCCAAUAAAGGAAACAAAUCCCAAGAAGGAAAAAACCGACCUGGAUAGUUAAGGCACCUCUGCUUCUCCGUACGAUAUCGUUUCCGGAGCUUCUCGAUCUUAUGCCGGCACUGUAGGGAAGACUUAGGCGUGUCGGCAGUAGCGGAAUCAGCGACGGCGGCCGCCACAGAGUCCCAGUCGGCAGCGCGGAGGUUGCCGCGGUUAACAGAGUACCAUUUAUCACGAUAUGCUUCAAUUAGAGCAAUAGUUUCUUCUUGGGUCCAGCACGGCGGAGGAACCCGCCUGGGAAUGGAAUCAGUAGGGGUUGACAUGGCGAAGGAAGGUGGAUUGGGAAUUGGGUGGUGGAUGGAUGAUAAGAAGAGGAGAGGAGAAGGUCAGAGAAAGGGAAAUUGGGUUAAU